AAACUUGGGCUAAUACCGCAUGAGCCCUGAGGGGGAAAGCGGGGGAUCUUCGGACCUCGCGCUAAGGGAAGAGCCUACGUCUGAUUAGCUAGUUGGUAGGGUAAAGGCCUACCAAGGCGACGAUCAGUAGCUGGUCUGAGAGGACGACCAGCCACACUGGGACUGAGACACGGCCCAGACUCCUACGGGAGGCAGCAGUGGGGAAUUUUUCGCAAUGGGGGCAACCCUGACGAAGCAAUGCCGCGUGGAUGAAGAAGGCCUUCGGGUUGUAAAGUCCUUUCGUGGGGGACGAAAAGGCGGGUCCUAAUACGAUCUGCUGUUGACGUGAACCCAAGAAGAAGCACCGGCUAACUCCGUGCCAGCAGCCGCGGUAAUACGGGGGGUGCAAGCGUUAAUCGGAAUCACUGGGCGUAAAGGGUGCGUAGGCGGUACGUUAGGUCUGUCGUGAAAUCCCCGGGCUCAACCUGGGAAUGGCGGUAGAAACCGGCGCACUAGAGUAUGGGAGAGGGUGGUGGAAUUCCAGGUGUAGCGGUGAAAUGCGUAGAGAUCUGGAGGAACAUCAGUGGCGAAGGCGGCCACCUGGCCCAAUACUGACGCUGAGGCACGAAAGCGUGGGGAGCAAACAGGAUUAGAUACCCUGGUAGUCCACGCCCUAAACGAUGAAUACUAGAUGUUUGGUACCUAGCGUACUGAGUGUCGUAGCUAACGCGAUAAGUAUUCCGCCUGGGAAGUACGGCCGCAAGGUUAAACUCAAAGGAAUUGACGG
rnacentral:rRNA from 1 species